ensembl:lncRNA
AGUAAACCUGACCAUCACUUCCUCCUGUAAAUGGUAGCUUCUUUCUCGCCCAGUAGUAAAGACUGCUGCCGUGUCUUGCUCACUGUCUGCCCCACAUGGUAUGGUGUUGCUCCAGGACACUUUGCAUUGUUACUUCUGGGUGGAUCCACGUGCAUUGUCAUAAGGAUACUCAAUCAGGCCUAUGGAGAGAGCCACAUAGUACAGAACCGCUGCUUCCUGCCAGUAGCCAAUAGAGAAAUGAAGCUUCUCACUAACAGCUACAUGAGUGAACCAUUCUACAAGUGGAUGAUCCAGCCUCAGUCAAACCUACAGAUGACGGUGACCUAAGGGCAUCUUAGCUGCAAUUUCGCAAGAGAUCUCUAGCUCAGAACCAGUUCACUAAGCCACUCACACAUUUUUUAACCAUAUUAACUAUGAGAUCAUAAAUGUUAACUGUUUUAAACUGCUAAACUCAUGGGCAACUUUUCAUGUAGUAAUAAACAAUGUCAUCUUCAAGAAGGCAUUCCUUCCACUGAUUUCUACCAUUCUCUAAUUACUUAUUCUGAAUUUUGAUAAAUAAAUUAGCUGACCGAAUGCUUGUCCAGAAUUUUUUUUCAGAAUUAUUUUCUACAUUCUGUGUAUAAAGAAACUCUCUAGCAGGAGAUUUAGCUUGCAUAUACAUAAGGUAAUAGGACAUUUGCUUGUCCUGCCUCAAACACAUCUGUACUGCUGAUGAACUGGAGAGAAUUCAAGAUGUUGUCAUAGACUUAUAGCAUCAGAAUAACCUUAAAGGGCAAACUAAUCCAGCCUACCAGUUAACUAACCAAUGCAUAAACUAGAACAUCCAUUUCAUCACUCAUCAACUGUAUUUGAACUCACAGUAUCCAAAGAACAGGUUUCUGUCUGCAGACAGCUAUAAAUUUUAGAAAAUCUUCUUUUAUAUUAAGUGUUUGACCCUUUCAAUUGAGCUUAUGUUUUGAGGGUAGCCAUACAGAACAAGUCUAGUCUCUUAAAAAAAAAAAAAAAACAACUCUUCCUUUUAAAACUCAAAAAUGCAAACCUAUCUUAACACUAAUAUUAAUCAGUUCAUUUUCUUAUUUAUUUAUUCACUUACUCAACAAAAUCUUAUUGGAUCUCUACCAAAUAUGUCACUAUGAUAGAAAUUGUUUACAACUCAACAAUGCAUUCAAACACAUUAUAUUCAAGAAAGGAAGGUAACAUAUGGAAUUCAAAUCAUUGGAUUAAUUGUGAUCAUUGUAAUAAGGUAAUACGCACACAUAC